rnacentral:piRNA from 1 species
GUCUUCUCUUCUUCAGGACUCUCUUGGUGUUU